AUGCUCACUUUAGCAGCACAUAUGUUAAAAUUGGAAAGACACAGAGAAGAUUAGUGUGGCCCCUGCACAAGGAAAGUGGGGGAAAGUAAGUCACAAAAUUUUU
ensembl:snRNA U6 U6 spliceosomal RNA